rnacentral:rRNA from 1 species
GAAACGACUGCUAAUACCGCAUAAUCCCUGAGGGGGAAAGAUUUAUCGCUUUAAGAUUGGCCCGCGGAAGAUUAGGUAGUUGGUGGGGUAAAGGCCUACCAAGCCGACGAUCUAUAGCUGGUCUGAGAGGACGAACAGCCACAUUGGAACUGAGACACGGUCCAGACUCCUACGGGAGGCAGCAGUGAGGAAUAUUGGGCAAUGGAGGAAACUCUGACCCAGCCAUGCCGCGUGAGUGAAGAAGGUUUUCGAAUUGUAAAGCUCUUUCGGAUGGGACGAUGAUGACGGUACCAUCUAAAGAAGCCCCGGCAAACUUCGUGCCAGCAGCCGCGGUAAUACGAAGGGGGCAAGCGUUGUUCGGAAUUACUGGGCGUAAAGGGUGUGUAGGCGGAUUUGUAAGAUAGUGGUGAAAUACCUGAGCUCAACUUAGGAAUUGCCAUUAUAACUAUAGAUCUGGAGUGACAGAGAGGAUAUUGGAAUACCCAGUGUAGAGGUGAAAUUCGUAGAUAUUGGGUAGAACACCAGUGGCGAAGGCGAGUAUCUGGCUGUCAACUGACGCUGAGGCACGAAAGCAUGGGGAUCAAACAGGAUUAGAUACCCUGGUAGUCCAUGCUGUAAAAGAUGAAUGCUAGUUGUCGGCAAAAGCCGGUG